UUACGGGCAUAUCACGUUGAAACACCGGUUCCCGUACGAUCACCGAAGUUAAGCAAUGUUGAGCUUGGUUACUACCUAGAUGGGUGACCGCAUAGGAAUACCAGGUGAUGUAAG